GGCGUAAAGCGCAUGCAGGUGGCUACUUAUGUCGGGUAUGAAAUCCCUGGGCCUAACCCAGGAAGUGCGCCCGAAACUGAGUGGCUUGAGUACUGUAGAGGGGGGUAGAAUUUC
rnacentral:rRNA from 1 species